CGCCCGUCCCGCCGCCCCCGCCCGCCUACGGGAGGCAGCAGUGGGGAAUUUUCCGCAAUGGGCGAAAGCCUGACGGAGCAACGCCGCGUGAGGGAUGAAGGCCUCUGGGCUGUAAACCUCUUUUAUCAAGGAAGAAGAUCUGACGGUACUUGAUGAAUAAGCCACGGCUAAUUCCGUGCCAGCAGCCGCGGUAAUACGGGAGUGGCAAGCGUUAUCCGGAAUUAUUGGGCGUAAAGCGUCCGCAGGCGGCCCUUCAAGUCUGCUGUUAAAAAGUGGAGCUUAACUCCAUCAUGGCAGUGGAAACUGUUGGGCUUGAGUGUGGUAGGGGCAGAGGGAAUUCCCGGUGUAGCGGUGAAAUGCGUAGAUAUCGGGAAGAACACCAGUGGCGAAGGCGCUCUGCUGGGCCAUCACUGACGCUCAUGGACGAAAGCCAGGGGAGCGAAAGGGAUUAGAUACCCCUGUAGUCCUGGCCGUAAACGAUGAACACUAGGUGUCGGGGGAAUCGACCCCCUCGGUGUCGUAGCCAACGCGUUAAGUGUCCGCCU
rnacentral:rRNA from 1 species